rnacentral:lncRNA from 1 species
GAGAAGAUUAGAGAUCUGUGGAAUACUUACUGCUGGUGAUCUAAGAAGCAGACCUUGUACUGCUCAGUUUUCAUCAGCUGUACCAAAGGGAAAAGAGCAAAAGCUUGUUUUUACUGCUAAGCUGAGUGAAUAUGGCAUGGAAAUCUUGUAAUGGCAAGUGUAGUGUUGCCUUGACAUGCAUCAUUUCAAUUUGGCAGCCCCAGCAAAUGGAUGGAAGCAAUUCAGUAUGAUAAUUCAGUAUUGCCAAGAGGCGGCUUCUCAAUCUAGUGCGGACACAUUCCAUGGUGGGAUUUAAAGCCUAUAUUAAGUGAUAGAAAAUGGGUCUAAUUCAGCACUUUGUUGUUCCAGCUUUACACUAAGACAGCCAUGAUUUCAAAGAUUCUAAAAUGAAAGUUGAUGGAGCCUAAGGAUGCUCUCAGAUAUAAAUGAUUAAUUUAUGCUACGAUCACUCUGGAGUUCCUUAUUUCAACUUCACAUCAGUUUAACUAAAUAGAAUUCAUUCAAGUGUGUCACCUUCCUAAGAGGUAAGUUCAGUGAAAGAGUACUACUUUUCACUGUUUGGUUUAAAUCUGUGGAAUGUAUUAGAAAUCUGAAACUUAAGUAGUUUGUCACAGCUAAAACCAUAAUGAAAAGAAGAGUUACGUGUGCUGGUCUGGUUAUUUUUUCAAAGCUAUGAACCUGCUCCAGGUUUGAGCUAGUGAAAUGGAGACUGCAGUCUGGUCCAUUUAAUGUAUUCUUUAUAGAGAUGCUCUUGGGCCAUAUAGAAUGAAAUAUCCUAUUUUCUGGAAGUCAGUCAUAUCAUUAAAGACUAAGAACUCAACCUCAUCCCUUAUAUAGGAUUACACAAAAGGACUGUGGUAGAUAAAUGAGUCAUUUCUGGGCAUAGGUUAAUAUUUCUAGAUGUAGCUGUUCCUUAUUGUGUCCUUUGUCUUUUUUCUUGAAGCCAAGGCAAACUACCCAGAUUGAGAUUUGGCCCACUUAAAAUGCUUAACAAGAACAAAAUAAGCUUGAAAGAACUUCUCCCUUUUUCUCUCCUGCCACUCAGAUGUGAGGACAUUGUUACAAGCCCCUCAGCUGAGAAGGGGUGGCACUACAUUGCUGGGGAGCUGCCGGAGCCGCUAACAGCCUGCCACAACUGCUGCAAGUGUUACGUGUGGUCCAACUGGUGGCCUGCAGGCCAGCUCCAGGCUGCUGCGCCAAUCCAUCCGGCCCACUGGCUUCUUCCUUGGAGGAGAUGGGGAACAGCUGUUUUGAGCAAGGACUGCACCCUCAGCAGCUGAGCCUGCCCUCCAGCACAAAGCCACAAUGCUGCUGUUGACGGGAGGAAAAUGGUUUUCUCCUGGAGCCCUCUGCUUCUGAACAACUCAGAGCUCAUAGCACUGUUUUCCUAAGGAAUUCAUCUUUCUCUGUGAGAUUAGAAUACAAGUUAUACCUUCUAAGCAAAGGCUUUAUGUUCUUCCCAGCUAUAAGAAUAACUUGUUUGCUAACAGCCUGAAAUAUGGAAGGAGGAAGAAGGUAAAAAUGAGAUUCUUGGCCUGGACUUCAAGGUCUUUGUUUUUAACAUUACAGGGCUUUGUGAUUCUAAUUGUUAACAAUGUGGAUGCUAUUUUAUAAAAAUGUGUGUGUGUUAUAUUGUUUUAUAGCACACUCUGGGUUGACAAUCAAAAUAAACUCUGUUAGGAUUAAAAAUAAAGCA